rnacentral:rRNA from 1 species
GACGAACGCUGGCGGCGUGCUUAACACAUGCAAGUCGAACGGAAAGGCCCUGCUUUUGUGGGGUGCUCGAGUGGCGAACGGGUGAGUAACACGUGAGUAACCUGCCCUUGACUUUGGGAUAACUUCAGGAAACUGGGGCUAAUACCGGAUAGGAGCUCCUGCUGCAUGGUGGGGGUUGGAAAGUUUCGGCGGUUGGGGAUGGACUCGCGGCUUAUCAGCUUGUUGGUGGGGUAGUGGCUUACCAAGGCUUUGACGGGUAGCCGGCCUGAGAGGGUGACCGGCCACAUUGGGACUGAGGUACGGCCCAGACUCCUACGGGAGGCAGCAGUGGGGAAUAUUGCACAAUGGGCGGAAGCCUGAUGCAGCAACGCCGCGUGCGGGAUGACGGCCUUCGGGUUGUAAACCGCUUUCGCCUGUGACGAAGCGUGAGUGACGGUAAUGGGUAAAGGAGCAACGGCUAACUACGU